AUUGAACGCUGGCGGCAUGCCUAACACAUGCAAGUCGAACGGCAGCACAUUCUGGUUUACCAGAAGGGUGGCGAGUGGCGAACGGGUGAGUAAUGCGUAGGAAUAUACCUUAAAGAGGGGGAUAACCUGGGGAAACUCAGGCUAAUACCGCGUAAACUCUACGGAGCAAAGCUGGGGACCGUAAGGCCUGGCGCUUUAAGAAUAGCCUGCGUCCGAUUAGCUAGUUGGUGGGGUAAAGGCUCACCAAGGCGACGAUCGGUAGCUGGUCUGAGAGGACGAACAGCCACACUGGGACUGAGACACGGCCCAGACUCCUACGGGAGGCAGCAGUGGGGAAUAUUGGACAAUGGGGGCAACCCUGAUCCAGCAAUGCCGCGUGUGUGAAGAAGGCCUGAGGGUUGUAAAGCACUUUCAGUGGGGAGGAGGAUUGCGAGGUUAAGAGCCAUGUAAUUGGACGUUACCCACAGAAGAAGCACCGGCUAACUCCGUGCCAGCAGCC
rnacentral:rRNA from 1 species